AAUUUAGUUGGAUUUUUUAUUAUAAUGUCAUGGUGGGUAUAUUCUUAUCUCUUGGAGUCUCUGUGGUGGCUGGGAUUGAUUACAAGUAAGUUUUUCAAUUUUUUAUUUUGCCAUUUUUGGUGUAUAUAUAUUAUGUUAUUGUUUGGCCGACCUUGUGGGUUUGGCCAACCUUGUGGACUAUUUUGGGCGUUGCUCCAGCAGUCCUUAUUACUCCUCUUUGGUGCAUUAAGUAUAUUUAUCAGGUAAGUUUUCAUGGGGUUUUGGGCUGUGUUAUGUGCAUUUCUAGAUUGGUCAUAUUUGUUAUCCAUGCACCGCAAGAGCAUCCUAUCAUCAAUUCUUGAAAUGUGGAGUAUGGCAACUCAACCAAGUUCGAUAUCAGACAUUCAUUUUAUGUCAUAUAUAUACAUUUUCCUCACUAUUAUUCAGAUUUAAUCUUAUAUAUUAAGAAUUGGCCAAUUGGGGCUGAGUGUGUAGUCUUUAUGUUUUGUUUUCUUGCUGUGCUUGCUAGCUACAUCUUUAUUUGUUUAGAAUUUGUUGUUGCUUCUUUUAAGGGUAUUGAGCCUAGUGAAAUUUUGUUAUAAUGAAAGUCUGGGGAGUGAGAUUUUGAUUGGUAGUGUGAUUAGUGAAUCUGGAGGUUACCCAUGAAAAGGUUAAGGGCUGGACACCUAAAAGGCUUUACUUCUAUGUGUUUCAAAGGCCUGAGAUGGGUUCUCGCUGUUAGGUCCUCGAUUCUCUGAAGGAAUUUAAGGCUACUAUAGCUAUGUGAAGUAAGGAACUCUGGGUUGUGAAGUUCUUUGCACCUUGGUAGUGUGGGCAUUGUAAAAGAUUGGCACCUGAGUAGAAGAAGGCUGCCAAUGAAGACACAUAAUUCUAGUAGUGUUAUAUACAAAGCACACUUGCCAAUGAAGACACAUCUAUAUAUGUGAGCCGUGUUACAUGGAGUCCAGAUGGGAACUUUUUUAGUAUGUAAAGUUCUGAUAUUGAAAGUAUUCCUCAACAUCUAUGUCACUCUGAGAGCUUUUCUCAAUAAUUUUUACAUAGCUAUACACCCUGUUUGAAGUA